rnacentral:rRNA from 1 species
UACGUAGGGGGCAAGCGUUGUCCGGAUUUAUUGGGCGUAAAGAGCGUGUAGGCGGCUAGAUAGGUCCGUUGUGAAAACUCGAGGCUCAACCUCGAGAUGUCGAUGGAAACCGUCUGGCUAGAGUCCGGAAGAGGAGAGUGGAAUUCCCGGUGUAGCGGUGAAAUGCGCAGAUAUCGGGAAGAACACCCGUGGCGAAGGCGGCUCUCUGGGACGGUACUGACGCUGAGACGCGAAAGCGUGGGGAGCGAACAGG